UCUCUAUUACGCUUUUUCUUUGUGUUUUCCUUUACUAUUUACUUCUUUGUUUCUAUAGAUUAUUUUUUUAAUUCUUUUUCUUCUAUACUGUUUUCCCUCAUUGCUUUUGUCAUUAGAUCCAUCAUGGAAAUAACAAAUUUUAUAUCCAGCAAUUGGCGACCAUUUUAUUGUAUGCAACCAUUUUAUUGUGUUAGAAAGGGGUAAAAGUUUUCUGCCCUUGCAAUCAGAGAAUUUGUGAUCAAUUUUUCCGUUAUGUCUUUCGAAAAAAACCUAUGUUUCGUUGGAAAAAUAGUUUUGCCUUUGAAUUCUAAAUUCUAUAAGGCUAGCUGUUCAUGUAGUUAAGGAUUUAGAAACGCGAAUUUAGAAUUCCAAAUUCUGAGAUCUAAUAUUUUAUAUGGGAUCCUAACCUUUCGGAAUUCAUAAUUCUGAAUUCUCAAAGAACAUUGAUGCGGUUCUAAAUUCUGAAUUCAAUUUUUCUAUAUACAUCAAAUAUUUUGAUGCAAGUUGCAUAUAAAAGCUUGCAUAUUCAAAAUUCUGAAUAAAAGGUGUCUAUUUACCUUUGUAUUUUAAAUUGUAUAAUAAAUAAAUAAAACUAUGCCUAUUGUAUACGAAUUCACUAUUGUAUACUAAAUAAAUUGUAUACUAAUUCAGAAUUCAGAAUUCUGUACGGAUAAAAGCUGCAUAUAAAAGCUGCAUAUAAAAGCUUGCAUAUUGAGAAUUCUGCAUAUAAAAGGUUGCAUAUCCUGUUUUGAUUUACCUUUUAUCUAUUUAUUAUAUAAAAGGUGUCUUAUAUGAAUUCUGAAUUCUCAGUCUGUAGAAUUCAGCAGCCGUAUCUUCGGGCCUACUCUUACUCUGAUACUGCAAUUCAAAUUUCAGAAUUCUGAAAUCUGAAAUUAGAAUUCUGCUAGGUAAUUCAGGAUUAUGCUAGGUAAUUCAGAAUUCAACUAAACAAUUGAAAGAGGGCAUACAAAAAGGAGUUUCACAAUUUAGAAUCUACCUUUGAUUGGUCUGUUCAUAAUGCAGGACGUCUUCACAUUUGCUAAAAGGUGGUAAUUGGGUUGCAGGACUCUCAUUCGUAACUGCCUUUCCCUGUGUAUUUGAGUUUUUUUUUUAGCCCCAGAAUUCUUUGCUCAAGAAUUUUCUUGACCCGGAGGAGCGCAAUAACACUGAGUGGCAGUUUGUGAAUUGAAUACUUUGUGGAUUGAAAAAACAUUUUUUGUGUCAGGUGAAUUGAAAAUUUGCAUGGUAGGUGUUUUUGCAUUUUGAAAGUAUGUGGAUAUAGGAGAAAUAGAUGUUGUGUGUCGUUUUUUUGAUUUGAUGUGGGCCAUCUCACUAUCUCAAUGUGUUUUUACAUAGGAGUGGAGUACAUUUUUUAUGAAAAAAUGUAUUUACUGUUUGUUUAUGUUCUAUUUGGAGUAACUGAUUUUGGAUUUCUUGGUUUAUGGAUGUUAAAACUAGAUUAGAUGCUGGGACACUAAUAAUUCCUACAUAGUGAGCAGUUGCAUAUCAACAUAUUUACCUGCUAGAUGGUUUCUAAUUUCGGAUUUUUUACUUCUUAUAUUCAAGUUUAGAUAUUUUUAGACUUGUGAGAAUUCUUUGCUUCUUCCCAACACUAUUCUCUUAUUAUGGCUCUCCGUUUGGGUUUCAAUUUACUCGGCAAUACUUAUAAAAAAGGUUUGGACUGGAUCUAAUAAUGUUAGAUGGAUAGGAGGAAUAGGUGUUUAGUGUUUUGGCAUUUUUAAAGUAGCACAAUUUGCAUGGCAGGCUAUCAUGAAAAAAAGUUUGAAUUAACUCGACAAUGCCCCUAUAGGCGUUUAGUGUUUUGGCAUUCUGAAAGUAACACAAUUUCAUGGCAGGGGAAAUAUUUUGAUUUUUUGUUGGUCUAUUUCCUUUUUUUUUUUUUUUUUUUUGUUGACCUUAUGUAUCAGCCUUUUGGUUAUGUUGGUUUGACCUUUCUUUUGAUUCGAUCAUAACCUAAUGCAACUUUCUUGCCUUUUAAGUUUACAUAGGUUCUCACUACACCUAGCCCUAUAUAUUUAAGAAGAGGACUAUCCCUGCUUCAAAAAGUUGUUAAAAAAACGAAAAGAAACUUUUUAAGUGGAGUCUUAUUUAAUUCUUGAUUUUGUUGCUAGCAGAUCAAAUUAAACUUGAAGCCUUAGCUUCUCGCUCUUCUAUCUGUCGCUUCAAAUUAUUAGUACUUUGUAUACCUUAUUUGCUACAACUAAUCUGAUCAUUGUGCUUUUUAUGAUGAUUAUUUUGAAACUAAGCUAUUUUCUAACCAUUCCUUUUGAGAAGCCUGCAAGUUUAGUGCUUUGUCCACCAAGUAGCAUUUGGAGUUGCUUUUAAUCUCCAUCAGCAUGUAAUUUUGUGCUUUUACCUCAUAUAAAGAAUUUCAUUUGAAAUAAUAACUUGAGUUCUGCUACAUUCAUCCCACCAAGUUCUUGCAAAAUUUUGGUAGUCUUCAUGAUUUCCAUCAGUAUGAAAAUGGAACAUUAGUUGUAUUAAUUUAUUUUUACUACGGAAAGAUGAUUCAUAUAGGUUAUAAUGAUUGAAACUUAUAUAACUGAUGUUUUGGCCAAAUUUUUAGUUUGCAUCUCUUUUGAGGAUCCUGUUGGCUAAAUUUUCAAUCUGCAGAUUCUUUUAAGGAUUCUUUGGAUUUUGUUUCUUUAUCCAUUUGUCAUGGUCUAUUAUAGUAUUUUCAUUGAGCAGAAUAGAACCGUCUUGAAGAUUUUUUUUUGAUGCUCAAAAUUUUUUUUUCUGCUUUGUACUGAAUCAAGAGUUUUAGUUUUCUCUUUUUCUUUGUUGAACACUCUAUCUACUAAGAUUACUGCUGGCAAAAAAAAAAAAAAAAUCAUGUAAAAAAAUAAUUAUGUAAUAAUCAUGUAAAUUUACAUUGGUUCUAGCAUUUCCUUAAUUGACAAUACGGACUUAUUUGAGUGCCAUUUCACAACAGAACUCACAGGUUAGUGCAGAACCGAGAUUGUCAGAUAAUUUCAUCACAGCGAUAAUCCAACAUUGACAGGUUAUGCUGCGGCUCCAAGCGCUCCAACUGUUCCACCCCCAAUGGUGCCGCCAGGCGCCACUUCUAUGCCAAUGCAGAUGCCGAGUCUCCCACGGCCGCCGACACUGACCCCGCCGGCUUCAGGAGGCGCCCCCACGGCCCCUUCUUCAGCGAGCUACGAUGCCUUUGGCGCUUCCACUGCUGCUCCUGCUGCAGCAGCUCCUUCACAUCCCGGAUUUUCCUAUUCUCAACUUGCAGACGCCAACCACUAGUUUCGGUUAAUUUUAUGGUUUUGCAUAUUGAAGUAGAUGGUAUAAAGCUUAUUGCUUAAUGUGCUGCAGAACCGGAGAUAAUUGUAUAAUUCUGAAUUUGUUUAGAUAUUCCCAGGGUAGGUUGGAGAGAAUAGUUUGGAGAUAGUUUGAUGAUGUUCUUAAAAACUGCCCUAAUGAAACUUAAAUGUUUAGGACUUGCAAUUUGAACCAUCAGUGAACAACUCUGUCUCGAACCCGAGGUUGUUUUAAGUUGUCUAAUGCUUUCCGUGGUGCGCAUUGAAGGGAAAAUAGUGCUUCUAAGAUCACAAGUUGUUGCAUCUAGGGCUGAUAAUUGCUGAGAAUAUAAUGCUUCUAAGAAAGAGUGAACGUUUUUCCUAUCCUGAGCUAAUGUCAAUUUUGGAGAUGAAGUUGUUGAAGUUGUUUUGAGUUCCUUUUGGAUGCACAUUGAGUGGAAGGUAAUGCUUCUAAGAUCUAAAGCUUUUUCCUAUCCUUGGUUAA